rnacentral:rRNA from 5 species
CCUGGCGGCUUUAGCGCGGUGGUCCCACCUGACCCCAUGCCGAACUCAGAAGUGAAACGCCGUAGCGCCGAUGGUAGUGUGGGGUCUCC